UCCGCAUUGGUCCAGUGGUUAGGAUUUCAUGCUUUCACCAUGACGGCCGGGGGUCGAUUCCCCGAUGCGGAA
rnacentral:tRNA from 1 species